rnacentral:lncRNA from 1 species
UUCUUAUUAUUAUGGCACCCUCAACGGAGUUGGGGUGACAUAUUGUUAUUUUACGUUUCUUUUUUUUCUUAUUAUGUCACCCGAUCGACAAUGUCGGGUGACAUACUGCUUUUCCUCUGUUUCUUUUUCUGUAUUAUUAUGACAUAUUGUUAUUGUUCGUUUCUUUUUGUCUUAUUAUUAUGGCACCCUCAACGGAGUUGGGGUGACAUAUUGUUAUUGUUCGAUUCUUUUUUUCUUCUUAUUAUUAUUAUGUCACCCGAUCGACAAUGUCGGGUGACAUAUUGCUUUUCUUAUGUUUCUUUGUUAUUAUGUCACCCGAUCGACAAUGUCGGGUGACAUAUUGCUUUUCCUCUGUUUCUUUUUCCCUAUUAUUAUUAUUAUUUUUCUUCCACCUAAUUUUGUCCGCUCGCUUUCUCAGAGCCAAAGGAACCAAUCACAAUGAUGGUGCACUAUAACAAGGAACCCUGACUUUCCUGUUGCUUUUCAAUAUUGGCACUAAAAAAAUGGCUGCAAUCACCAUGGAAACGGAAAAAUGGUGAAAAAAAUAUAAUUUUGGAGUUAGGUGAAUUGUUUGAGAAUGCUUAACCUUAAAAUCUUUAGAUUUUAAUACAAUGUAGGUGCCCACUAUAUACUGCUUUGGGAUGAUUUUGGCAAUCAUUGGAACUGCUAUGUUGCCAUGGAUACUACACCAAAAAUUUCAAAAAAAUGAAAAUGCUCCAAAUUUUCUGAAAUUCUAGCAUAACGAUGAGCAACUUUGGUAGAUGUGGAAUUUGGCGUUGGAAUUUCCAAAAUGUCUGCCGUUUCCAUGGAAACAAUGCAAAAAGGUCAAAAUGCUCCAAAAACUUUAGGGUUAGGUGAAUAACUUUGGUAUGCUUGAACUUAUAAUCAUCAAAUUUUAAUACAAUAUAGUUGUCCACUAUAUACAGGUUUUGAAUGAUUAUGACAAUCAUUGGAACUACUCUGUUACCAUGGAUACAGGAUCAAAUAUUUCAAAAAUUUCA